GGGAAACAACCCAGACCGCCAGCUAAGGUCCCAAAGUCAUGGUUAAGUGGGAAACGAUGUGGGAAGGCCCAGACAGCCAGGAUGUUGGCUUAGAAGCAGCCAUCAUUUAAAGAAAGCGUAAUAGCUCACUGGUCGAGUCGGCCUGCGCGGAAGAUGUAACGGGGCUAAACCAUGCACCGAAGCUGCGGCAGCGACGCUGAUGCGUUGUUGGGUAGGGGAGCGUUCUGUAAGCCUGUGAAGGUGUGCUGUGAGGCAUGCUGGAGGUAUCAGAAGUGCGAAUGCUGACAUAAGUAACGAUAAAGCGGGUGAAAAGCCCGCUCGCCGGAAGACCAAGGGUUCCUGUCCAACGUUAAUCGGGGCAGGGUGAGUCGACCCCUAAGGCGAGGCCGAAAGGCGUAGUCGAUGGGAAACAGGUUAAUAUUCCUGUACUUGGUGUUACUGCGAAGGGGGGACGGAGAAGGCUAUGUUGGCCGGGCGACGGUUGUCCCGGUUUAAGCGUGUAGGCUGGUUUUCCAGGCAAAUCCGGAAAACUAAGGCUGAGGCGUGAUGACGAGGCACUACGGUGCUGAAGCAACAAAUGCCCUGCUUCCAGGAAAAGCCUCUAAGCAUCAGGUAACAUCAAAUCGUACCCCAAACCGACACAGGUGGUCAGGUAGAGAAUACCAAGGCGCUUGAGAGAACUCGGGUGAAGGAACUAGGCAAAAUGGUGCCGUAACUUCGGGAGAAGGCACGCUGAUAUGUAGGUGAAGUCCCUCGCGGAUGGAGCUGAAAUCAGUCGAAGAUACCAGCUGGCUGCAACUGUUUAUUAAAAACACAGCACUGUGCAAACACGAAAGUGGACGUAUACGGUGUGACGCCUGCCCGGUGCCGGAAGGUUAAUUGAUGGGGUCAGCGCAAGCGAAGCUCUUGAUCGAAGCCCCGGUAAACGGCGGCCGUAACUAUAACGGUCCUAAGGUAGCGAAAUUCCUUGUCGGGUAAGUUCCGACCUGCACGAAUGGCGUAAUGAUGGCCAGGCUGUCUCCACCCGAGACUCAGUGAAAUUGAACUCGCUGUGAAGAUGCAGUGUACCCGCGGCAAGACGGAAAGACCCCGUGAACCUUUACUAUAGCUUGACACUGAACAUUGAGCCUUGAUGUGUAGGAUAGGUGGGAGGCUUUGAAGUGUGGACGCCAGUCUGCAUGGAGCCGACCUUGAAAUACCACCCUUUAAUGUUUGAUGUUCUAACGUUGACCCGUAAUCCGGGUUGCGGACAGUGUCUGGUGGGUAGUUUGACUGGGGCGGUCUCCUCCUAAAGAGUAACGGAGGAGCACGAAGGUUGGCUAAUCCUGGUCGGACAUCAGGAGGUUAGUGCAAUGGCAUAAGCCAGCUUGACUGCGAGCGUGACGGCGCGAGCAGGUGCGAAAGCAGGUCAUAGUGAUCCGGUGGUUCUGAAUGGAAGGGCCAUCGCUCAACGGAUAAAAGGUACUCCGGGGAUAACAGGCUGAUACCGCCCAAGAGUUCAUAUCGACGGCGGUGUUUGGCACCUCGAUGUCGGCUCAUCACAUCCUGGGGCUGAAGUAGGUCCCAAGGGUAUGGCUGUUCGCCAUUUAAAGUGGUACGCGAGCUGGGUUUAGAACGUCGUGAGACAGUUCGGUCCCUAUCUGCCGUGGGCGCUGGAGAACUGAGGGGGGCUGCUCCUAGUACGAGAGGACCGGAGUGGACGCAUCACUGGUGUUCGGGUUGUCAUGCCAAUGGCACUGCCCGGUAGCUAAAUGCGGAAGAGAUAAGUGCUGAAAGCAUCUAAGCACGAAACUUGCCCCGAGAUGAGUUCUCCCUGACUCCUUGAGAGUCCUGAAGGAACGUUGAAG
rnacentral:rRNA from 1 species